UCCCCAGUGGCGCAACCGGCUAGCGCGCGGUACUUAUAAUGCCGAGGUUGUGAGUUCGAUCCUCACCUGGGGAA